UUUUCUCUUAUGCAUGUUUUGCCACAGAAAAAUAAACAAAUAAUUAAAACAAAAAGUUCUUUUUAUUUUUUAUUUUUGAGAAAGAGUUUUGCUGUUGUUGCCCAGGCUGGAGUGCAGUGGUGAGAUCUCAGCUCACUGCAACCUCCUGCCUCAGCCUCCCAAGUAGCUUGGAUUACAGGCACACACCAUGGCGAAUUUUGUAUUCUUUUUUUAGUAGAGGGUUUUCUCUAUGUUGGUCAGGCUCUUCUCAAACUCCCAACCUCAAGUGAUCUGCCGCCUCGGCCUCCCUGGGAUUACAAGCAUGAGCCACCGCGCCCGGCUGCCACGUAAAGCAAACAGAAAAGUGUUAGAAAAAUGUUAAACAGAAGAAAAGAGAGCGAGAGAGAGAAGAGAUAACCAAGUUAUCCACCAGCUGCUGGAUCUGCGGCCUGGCCAAGCCCCUCUCGUGAAGGGCCUCCCCGCCCCUCCCACCCACUCACCCUCCACGGGGACCCAGCCGGAGGGGAUCUGGAAAAGCCUCUGGCUUUGCUCGCCCAGCCCGUGUGACCCACAGUGCUUCUGGACAGGUUGAUCAUUCACCAGCGCAGCACCAAGCUCACGCCCUCUUUCCCGACCUUUUCCACCUAAGCAAUCUCAUCUGAUGCUCAAUCCUGGUCUUAUUUCAUAGACACACGAGUUUCAACACAGGGUCACUCUGUGUGUGAGAAGCCCUGAGAAACGGGGUGCUUUCUGCGUGGUGAUCAUCUGGGGCUAGAAGCCCGCCUAGGGGGUGUCCUUCCAGGCUGGGGGCCGCCCUUCUGCCCUCUCCUCUACAGUCCUGGGAGGGCCCAGGCUGCCCCCCUCACCGUAGGCCUGGCUCCCACUCGCAGAGAAGGCCUCAUCUUAGCCCCAGGUGUGGGCCUGGAUCGGCAGGAAGCCCACCGUCUCCUCGUGCCUGGCACCUUCUGGGAAUAGGAGACGAAUUACUGGUGGAGGUCGCACAGCUGCUAGAAGAAUUCACUCUAGAAAAAGCAGAUUGCCCUCGCCUGGAGGAGGGGGGUGUUCUCAGCCGCACGGCUUCGUAUUCCAGCCGGCUUCAUCUCCAAGCACAUCUCCAACGUCUCAUUUAAAUAUUGCACACAGGACACGGAAGGUGGAAAUACAGACGCAUAGGCGUUCAGAAUCUGACGCAUUGAGUGUCUCUCCUGAUUCAGGGCGCGUGACGCCGCUGGUACAGGACUGUGGGGGGCGGGGGGAGCUCUGUGAAAGCCGGGGAGCCGCGCCUUAGGCUGGCUGCUAAGGGCUCCAGGGGAAACCCCAGCCACUGAACUGCUUCCCGGCGCCUGUCCUCCCUUGGCCAAUGUCCACUUAUCGACAGGUGCAUGGGGGACCAGUCAGCCAUUUAACAUCCACCCAGGAACCUGUGGCCCAACCCCCACAAGGCACAGGGCCCUGGAAGGUGGCAGCUGCUCUGUGGCUCCUCUCCUGGCUCCUCUAGGGACCCUGUCCCCAAGGCCGCUGUGCGACUUCUGCCUCUUCAGGGGUCUCUGGGUUUCCAGGCCAUGGGCGGGGAUGUGGGAGGCUCAAGUCACCUCCCAGACCCCCCUCAGAUCAG
ensembl:lncRNA